rnacentral:rRNA from 1 species
GACGUAGGGGGCGAGCGUUGUCCGGAUUUACUGGGCGUAAAGCGCGCGUAGGCGGUCCGUUAAGUGCACAAGUGAAAGCUCCUGGCUCAACCAGGAAAUUGCUUUGCAUACUGGCGGGCUGGAGGGACGCAGAGGUCUGUGGAAUUCCGGGUGUAGUGGUGAAAUGCGUAGAGAUCCGGAGGAACACCAGUGGCGAAGGCGACACGCUGGGCCGUACCUGACGCUAAAGCGCGACAGCAUGGGGAGCGAACGGG